rnacentral:ribozyme from 1 species
CUCCGAUGUAUAUCGCUGCUCAAUAUGGCAACGUUGAUUCUAUGAGAUUGUUGUUGAAACAUGGUGCUCUGGUGGAUGCACCACGCGAUAUUGGAACAACUCCA